rnacentral:rRNA from 1 species
CUGGCUCAGGAUGAACGCUAGCGACAGGCCUAACACAUGCAAGUCAGGGGCAGCACAAGGAGCAAUCUGAGGUGGCGACCGGCGCACGGGUGAGUAACACGUAUGCAACCUGCCUGUAAGCGGGGAAUAACCCGUUGAAAGACGGACUAAUACCGCAUAAUACUAAAUUACUGCAUGGUAAUUUAUUUAAACAUUUAUGGCUUACAGAUGGGCAUGCGCAUGAUUAGCUAGUUGGAGAGGUAACGGCUCCCCAAGGCAACGAUCAUUAGGGGUUCUGAGAGGAAGGUCCCCCCACACUGGUACUGAGACACGGACCAGACUCCUACGGGAGGCAGCAGUGAGGAAUAUUGGUCAAUGGACGAGAGUCUGAACCAGCCAAGUCGCGUGCAGGAAGAAUGUCCUAUGGAUUGUAAACUGCUUUUGCAGGGGAAUAAAGUGCAUCACGUGUGAUGUUUUGUAUGUACUCUGCGAAUAAGGAUCGGCUAACUCCGUGCCAGCCGCCGC